rnacentral:rRNA from 1 species
GGAGGGCAAGUCUGGUGCCAGCAGCCGCGGUAAUUCCAGCUCCAAUAGCGUAUAUUAACGUUGUUGCAGUUAAAAAGCUCGUAGUUGAAAUGAAGGGUAGUUGUGUAAUGAAUACAUUCGUGUAUUUUGUUAUUCUACUACCCUCCUUCUAAAUUCGAUAUAUGAGUAUUAAUUUACUUGUAUAUGGUUUUAGACGUUUACUGUGAGAAAAUUAGAGUGUUCAAAGCAGGCAUUUGCUUGAAUAUAUUAGCAUGGAAUAAUCAUGUAUGAUUUUCAUGAUGUAUUUGAUUGGUUUGGUUCAUGAGAAUAAGAUUAAAAGGGACAGUUGGGGGUAUUCAUAUUCAAUAGUCAGAGGUGAAAUUCUCGGAUUUAUGGAAGAUGAACAAGUGCGAAAGCAUUUACCAAGGAUGUUUUCAUUAAUCAAGAACGAAAGUUAG